rnacentral:lncRNA from 1 species
AUAGGAUUUCCUCUCAGCAAAUGUCUGCUUGCCCCUGUAAAACGUCAGUGACGUUUAGCCACACCCAUCAGGUCAUUUAAUUACUGGCUCUUACGCUCGUGACCGAAGUUAAUGGCACAGGUGUUGUGAAGUACCUUCUUUUGUAAAUAACAACACCCGCAAGGCAGGGAACGUGAGGCCACAGAAAACUGCGGUGAUCGUGACAGCAGCAAUAGCAGUCAAGCCACGGAGCUUCCUCCCCACAGGUCUGUAAUUAGCUUAUGUCACCGAGAGGCCAUAAACAGAAGCUCCUGUACAUCAUACAGGCCAGGAGAUAACAAGGUAAAUAGCCAGUGGUUAAUUCCUCCAUGUAAGAGUGUGGAGUGCGUGGCAAAUAGGUUUGUGACCGUGCUUAGUACCGUCUCUGUACAGAAUGGUUUUUGUUAAGGAUGCGUGAGCUCAGAGUCCAGCUCGCUGUGCCUGUUCCGCGUUGGAAGUGACCCAAAGGCUCACUUACUGGGGAUCUCCUAAGGCCUCCCUUGAAAAUGGUGAGAGUGGCUUGGAGGAAGCCUGGAGGUUGCAGAAAAGCAUGGCAAAUACAUUCUCUUUUGCAAUGGGCUGAAGCCCAUCAUAAUUUGCUUUGGGAAAAAUUUUGAUUUCUCAGAGAGUCUAGUGUAGCCUCAUUCAAGUUUAAAGCAGAGAUCUAAGAUGCAAGCAGAAGAUUCACCCAGCCAGGGAUUGCACAGAGGCCAGAAGUCCAGAGUUAGGGGUGGCCUCCUUGCCUCCCUAAUGUGCAUAGCAAGUCCUGGGCAAUUGUCAUGCACCUCAGCUUGUCCUGGCCUGCUUUGCACUAAAGGCAGGCCACUCCCUCCACAUGGUGCUGGAUUCUCCUCCGUAUUGCUUCCUGUAUCUGGAAUCAGAUGACCACUGGCAGAUGAGUGCAUAGCAAAACAUGGCCUAUAUAAAUGAAGGAAUACUAUUCAGCCUUGAAAAGGAAGGGUGUUCUGGUACAUGCUACAACACUGCUAGACCUUGAAGACAUCGUGCUGAGUGAAAGGAGCCAGACACAAAAGCAUAAAUAUCAUAUGAUUCGCUUACAGGAGGUACCAGAGCAGUCACAUUCGUAGUGACAGAAAUUAGAAUCGAAGUUACAAGGAACUCUGGGGGGAGGGGUAAUGGGGAGCAGGUGCCUAACGGGUACAGAGUUUCUGUUCAGGAUGAUGGCAAAGUUCUGGAGAUGGACGGUGGUGAUGGCUGUGCAACGUGAAUGUGCUUCAUGCUGCUGAAUCCUACACUUAGAAAUGAUUAAAGUGAUACAUUUUAUGUCAUGAAUAUUUUACAAUUUUUUAAAAUGUGGUUCCAAAA